GGACUACUGGGGUAUCUAAUCCUGUUUGCUCCCCACGCUUUCGUGUCUCAGCGUCAGUAUCGGGCCAGUAAGCCGCCUUCGCCACUGGUGUUCUUCCGAAUAUCUACGAAUUUCACCUCUACACUCGGAGUUCCGCUUACCUCUCCCGAACUCAAGAUACCCAGUAUCGAAGGCUAUUCCAGGGUUGAGCCCUGGGCUUUCACCCCCGACUUAAGUAUCCGCCUACACACCCUUUACGCCCAGUAAUUCCGAGCAACGCUAGCCCCCUUCGUAUUACCGCGGCUGCUGGCAC
rnacentral:rRNA from 1 species